rnacentral:rRNA from 1 species
AUUGAACGCUGGCGGCAGGCCUAACACAUGCAAGUCGAGCGGAGCGGCGGACGGGUGAGUAAUUCCUAGGAAUCUGCCUGGUCGUGGGGGAUAACGUCCGGCAACGGGCGCUAAUACCGCAUACUCUCCGAGGAGCCUAGGUCGGAUUAGUUAGUGGGUGGGGUAAAGGCCUACAAAGGCGACGAUCCGUAACUGGUCUGAGAGGAUGAUCAGUCACACUGGAACGGAGACACGGUCCAGACUCCUACGGGAGGUAGCAGUGGGGAAUAUUGGACAAUGGGCGAAAGCCUGAUCCAGCCAUGCCGCGUGUGUGAAGAAGGUCUUCGGAUUGUAAAGUACUUUAAGUUGGGAGGCGUUACCAACAGAAGAAGCACCGGCUAACUUCGUGCCAGCAGCCGCGGUAAUAC